rnacentral:rRNA from 1 species
AAUCAACGCUGGCGGCGUGCCUCAGACAUGCAAGUCGAACGAUUAAACUUUCCUUCGGGAAAGAUAUAAAGUGGCGCACGGGUGAGUAACACGUAAGUAAUCUACCUUUGAGUGGGGAAUAACGUUCGGAAACGGACGCUAAUACCGCAUAAUGCAGCGGCACCGCAAGGUGACAGUUGUUAAAGGAGCAAUUCGCUUAAAGAGGAGCUUGCGGCAGAUUAGCUUGUUGGAAGGUAACGGCUUACCAAGGCUACGAUCUGUAUCCGGUCUAAGAGGACGGUCGGACACACUGACACUGAAUAACGGGUCAGACUCCUACGGGAGGCAGCAGUCGGGAAUUUUGGGCAAUGGGCGAAAGCCUGACCCAGCAACGCCGCGUG